rnacentral:rRNA from 1 species
GACGAACGCUGGCGGCGUGCUUAACACAUGCAAGUCGAACGGAAAGGCCCUGCUUUUGUGGGGUGCUCGAGUGGCGAACGGGUGAGUAACACGUGAGUAACCUGCCCUUGACUUUGGGAUAACUUCAGGAAACUGGGGCUAAUACCGGAUAGGAGCUCCUGCUGCAUGGUGGGGGUUGGAAAGGUUCGGCGGUUGGGGAGGGACUCGCGGCUUAUCAGCUUGUUGGUGGGGUAGUGGCUUACCAAGGCUUGGACGGGUAGCCGGCCUGAGAGGGUGACCGGCCACAUUGGGACUGCGAUACGGCCCAGACUCCUACGGGAGGCAGCAGUGGGGAAUAUUGCACAAUGGGCGGAAGCCUGAUGCAGCAACGCCGCGUGCGGGAUGACGGCCUUCGGGUUGUAAACCGCUUUCGCCUGUGACGAAGCGUGAGUGACGGUAAUGGGUAAAGAAGCACCGGCUAACUACGUG